AUAAUUAUAUAUAGCAAGAAAAGUUUUAGUAAAUAUUUCUGCUAUAGUAUUGCGGCAGACUUAUCGCAGUAGUGAUCUGCUAACAUUUUAGUUGCAUUGUUUUGUAUUCAAUUAAUAAUGAAGCUAAUUUUGAAUUUCUUCAAUUAUUUUUUAAUAAACUGUGAGGCAGUCAACUGUUUCGGAAAACAUAUUGGAUCGGAUCAACUACACGCAUCGCAUCCCUGAAACUUUGAACGCACAACGCAACAAACUAUACGAGACCUCGGCUAUGAUCAAAGAUCCGCCCAUUUCCACUUACAAGGGAAGCUCUAAAGCUGUGAAUCUCUAAUCAAUUUCAAUCGAUGAGCGAAACUAAAUUACCUACAAUAUGUCCGAUGCGCUUCUGCACCGUUUUCGUCUUCCCAAUUUUACUCACUUGUUUCGAGUAGAGGAACGUUAACUAGUACUUAACUAAAAUACCAAGCAGUGAGAUCGAAUGCGCAAACCUCGCAGUGGCUAAGUAAACUUUCGGCCAUGCUGUAACUACGACUAAAUCACCUGAACCAAACAUAGCGGUGGAUCUUACGACUGUUCUUUCCGAGACAUGGAACAAGAGGACUCGGGUUGAGAUGCAACGAAAACUUACAAGUAAACUGGACAAAGAAAGACAGCCAACCAUUUAAAAAUUUUAAAUCCGAAACAUGCUGGAUUGGGCACAUAUAUACUGAACAAAUGUUUCACAAAGCGUACUUGAUCAACUCAAUCUAGUUUAAAGAGGAAUGCGCUGAGGAAAUUUGCAGAAAAACUCAGAAUCAGCAGCUUAGAACACGGGAGACAGGGUACUAAAACAACAAUUCUCUACAAAAUUCACAUAAACCACAUUCUGUCCAAACGCAGAGCAUUGCUACCGAGGCAAUAUGAAGGACGUCUUUUAACAAAUAAGAAAGACUAAUACAGUCAUGCACGCUUCCGG